CAACAGUAUAAGAGAGAAGGUUUCCAGAUUCUCUGUACAGCCGAGGCAUCAGGAGCUAAACGAAGAAAAGAAAACAUUCCUGCUGAGAGGUGAUUUUGUUAUUAAUCUCCAUCUUUUCCAAAAUGAAGACUGUGACUGUGCUGUUAUUCUUUGGUGCCUUCUUGGCUCUGAAUGAAGCUGCUGCUUUUCCAGAUACUGUAGAGCAACCUGAUCCCGUUCCAGACGUUGUUCCAGAAGCAGAAGGUGGAAACUGGGCAGAAGCAGAAGUCCCUGAACCUCAGGAGGAGGAAACUGGUCCAGAUGCUGACCUGAUGAUGAAUAGAAUAUCUUGUCCUGCUGGUUGGUCUGGACUCGGGAAUCGAUGAUUCCGGUAUUUUGGAACAUUCAGAACUUGGGCUAGAGCUGAGAGAGACUGCUUGUCCUUGGGAGCACAGCUGGCAUCAGUCCACAGUUUCUUAGAACACCAUCAGAUUCAGAACCUGAUAUCAGAAUCAGGUGGCGGCAAUCAAGAAACGUGGAUUGGAGCAUCUGACGCAGAAGAGAAUUCCAUUUGGUUCUGGAGUGAUGGAACGAUUUUUCAAUUUACCAGCUGGUGUGGUGGACAGCCUAAUAACGCCGGGGGGAAACAGAGUUG